GCUGGCUGAGAAUUUCCAUUUAAAGUGGAGUGGACCUGCAGAGUUCUGAGUAAUAACCAUCUUUCUUUGUACAAGGAUUUGCCGAUCGUAGCACCAGGACGAAGUUGCGUUCCACACAUUGCUGCACCUGCUAAAUAUGUAAAGCAGAAUUAAAAACCAAGGCACAA